UUCCGGAAGCGGUCGGGUUGCGCCGGCUGCGGGCGAAGCGCAUUCGAGAAAGAUCUGGAAAGGGAGGGACUAAGGCGUUAUCUAGAGCGACACCCCGCGCACAGACGUCACCGCCGCGGCGGGACACGCCCACCGCCCCCCUUAAAGGGCCCGGCGGGCGCGCAGGGUGCCUGAGGUGACGGCGCCCCGCAGCGAUGGGGUUGACCCUGCGCGCUGCUGCCCGCCCCGGACAGCUUCGUGUGAGAGCUGGUUGCAACACAGCGUAAUUUAAUGUGAUUAUAGCAAUUGAGCGCAAUUAGUGCUGGGCAAUGAUUAGGCCGAUUAAUAGAACUGUCCUCAGCAGGUGGAGCUGCCCACAAGAGCGGGGCCGGCCAUCCCUCUUGCACUCAGGGAUCCCGAGGCCUUCCUGCUCGCCCUGAGGAAAAAAAGAUGCCUUUAAACCUGAGUAUCUCUACUGCAGCUGCCCCAUUUUUUGUGGGUGUCAUUUGUACAGCAGGCUGAAACUCUACAAGACAUACUUACACUCUGGAAAAGCUCUGUAAGUAUUUGCUUCUAAAAAUGCCAUCUCAGUUUCACAGAGCAAUAUGACAUCUUUCUGACACAGCGUGUGACACUGCUGCACAAUUUGGUUCUACUGGAGAGGCUAAAAAUAAGUGCUCAACCACUAAACUAGAUUCACAUCUCGGUCCAAAGUUUUAGUUAUCUCUCCAUUUGCUACUGUUUCAAUGGUCUAGUUCACGACUAGAAUUUUCCCAGUGAAGAUGACAGAUGCCAUUUCCCUCUAAAUCCUAUAGGAGCAAGAGAAGUCGCUGUUGAGAGUUACUUGUAACACUACUAUUUAUCAGUACAAGCAAUUAACCACCUCAUUUUCCUUGCUAAUAUUAGGAUAAGAAAGGCAAUACAGGCUCAAUCCCAUGUGCCGUAGCCGAGGAGACAAAUCCAAAGUCAGGUUACUGCUCUGCUGCUUCAGUCCCUGUUACAAAACCAGUUCUCGGUGAUUCAAGGUAUUGCAGCAUCCCACUUUUGUGGCACCACCCGAGGCUAACUCCUGACAGAAAAGAAACCUUGGGCCAAGAGAUUAUAUGCAAAUGCCUUUGCGUAGCUAUGCAACAUUACUAAGCCAGACCCAGCAGAAAUUGUGCAACCUUGCAGCAGGGGGACAGGCCAUCGCUGCAGCAGCACUGGCGUGUCUCACAUCUCAGCAGGAUAAAUCAGCCUGUAUGCAGCUUCCUGCUGCCGCUGCAGCGUAGUUUCUGGCAGCCAAGCCAGCUGAUUUCAAGCAGCAGACAGGAACGCAGACGUGUGUAGGCAUUCAUGAUAGCAACAAGAAAGUGCCAACAGACUUUUUAUUUGCUUUGUCAACAGUAAGGCUGCGAUGAGUUGCAGAUGAGAUUGUAAGCAGGACAAGCCAAACUCUUAAAAGUGUUUCACGACGUCUUGCUUGCGUGCUUCAGUGCCAUACUGAUUGCCCAGCCUGCGAGUAUGAACAAAACAUGGUCAGGUCAGGUUGGCCACAAACUUGCCUGAGCGUAUCCCCCACCCCGGUCAUCUACUGUCACUGUAGCAAUCUCAGAAUCGGGGUUGUCCGAGUCUUUCCAGUUCUUGGCGUGUGAGUCACAUCUGGUUUUUUAGCAGCUAAAAAUCAUUUGUACUAACUCAAGGAGCUAAGGGUUUUAUGUGAAACUUCACUGGUUGUGGAGAAAUGUAAGGAACACUGCUAGCCUCAAUUUCUUUGAACCCAAACAUUUUAAUAAAGGCCUCCUAAAUGGUUUGGUCCCCAAGUUACCAAUAUUCUGCAAGGUUUGGUUUGUGUUUCAUUUUCCUAUUGAAAAGUAUUACCCAAGAAAUAAAAAUAGGAGUCUCCUCAUUUAUGUACACUGCAAGAUUUAGCCUCAAUAUUGAGAAGAAUCCUCAGCCAUUUUAAACUUCUUCAAGAAAUAAUGUAGUAAGUGUUCUAUGUCUGUAGGUGCUUGGGUCUCUACACUUCUGGGCUGUUUUGGCUUAAAAUGCUGCCAGCCAGGCUAGUGUUCACAGUGUUGUUUGAGUGAUGGGACAGAGAGAAAAGUGAGUUGCUGUAUUUCUUAAUGCAAACUUUAAAACAAACAAACAAACAAACAAACAUAAACUCCUUUGCUGUCUUGAUUUGUGCUUUAAAAUACCAUGAAAACACAUCAGCAAGCUAGAAACAGGUUUUCUUUUGAGUGUGGUUCAUGUAGAAGCAGUAGCAGGCUGAUGCCUGUGCAUACUUAACAGUGGGCUCUGCUGACAGGCUAGGGAAACUGCUGUUACCAAAGUAUAUUCAGGUACAAUCCAUAAUUUAAAAGUCAAGAUGUGUAACAUUUAGUAUGAAUAAAGCCAGAACAUUGAGAAUUUUAAACAAGAGGCAGGUAUUGUCUUGGCUUCAUUUCUUGAAUGAAGUGAAAAGAGUGCUCUUUAGUUCCCUGAAAAUGAAUUGUUUAGUUUAGUACAGGCUUAGUGACAAAACCACCCAAAAGUAUUGUUUGCAUAACAUUUAAACUAAAAAUAAGCUAUGCAAACAACGAGGAUUCUAACAUGUACACUCUACAAACAGCAUAAAUGUUAACUCACUGUUUUAAUCAGAUCCUAGACUCUCUGAAACAUCAUGAUUAAAAAUGUCCUUAAUUUUGUCAUAAAGGAUGUUGGAGGGUGCUCCACAUAAGAAAGCAUUAAGCCCCUGUCAUGCGUGUAUGUUCAUAAAGCAGUUAGUGGUUCCUUUAGACUGACAUUCAGUGCCCCCUCUCUGCACAGAAAUAACAAGGACAAAUCAUUGCUGCACUGAGAAGGAAACUCAGAUGUCUAGCAGAAUUUGUCUUUCUUUAGUAAAGAGCGCUAGGGAACUUUUCCCUAAUGUUUCUCAUACUGCAAAGGCGUGAUCUUUUACCUAAUAAAUAUUCAUCUGAUGUAGUGCUCUGUUAGCUGGUUCCAAUAGCUAAAUUUGGAAGGGCUGUGAUCCUUCUUCCAGUGCUGCUUUUAAGCUUUACUGGGCCAGUAGAAGGCUUAGGAAUUAAAUGAGGUCACCCCAGCGAGUCCUGAUGGUGCUCUAAAUUGUUUCACUGCUAUUAAAAUUUCCACAGCUCAUUUUUUUUCCUUCUUUAGUACCACUGAAAUAUUUUUACACCAUGUAGAGUUCAGUUCAUUAGUAAUCAAUAGAGUCCUCUAAAAAAUUGUUAAGGUCUUGACUAGCACAAUAAUGUAAAAUCAUUGGAAGCUUAAGAAGCGGCACAGUUCACUUUUCAUCUAGCCCACCUUGUUUCUGAGCAUUAAUUUGCCUGGCAAAUGAAAACAACGCAGAAAGGAGGGUUUGUUGGUUAGAGAUCUCAGCACCAUCUUCACUAAAACUUGCUUCAGGUGCUUACAAGUGAAGGAAUGAACGGGUGACAAGCAGUGAAUGUUCACAUGCACGCAACAUGACCGUUUCUGUACAAGUCAGAGCUAAGGAACUGAACCCUCCCUUCAGCUUUUCCCAGGCGCAGUGGGAGUGAAAACAAGGCCAGCUCCUUUAAGUCUUGAAAAUCUCAGCAGUGGGCUGGAGGCAGCCCAGAGGAACCAUGUGUGUCCGUGCUCCACACAGCAGAGUGUGUGGAAUGGCUUGCCCAGAGAAGCUGGGGCUGGUCCAUCCCUGGCAGUGUUCAAGGCCAGGUUGGACACAGGGGCUUGGCGCAACCUGCUCUAGUGGAAGGUGUCCCUGCCCAUGGCAGGGGGUUGGAACCAGAUGAGCUUUCAGGUUCUUUCCAACCCAAACCAGUCUGUGAUUCUGUGAAAUACUCAUGCCCACUCUGGAUAUUGGUGCAGUGAGAACAGCAAAUCUCUCAGGUACUCUGAGUAACCCUGCAGCUCUGACAAAAAGUGUUUUUGUAGAUGUGCUUGGUGAGCUGUCAAACAAUUCCUGUUUUGGAACUGCAGUCUCUUCAGGAUCAGAGGACUGUGGUAGGAACUGGCACUGUUUCUUGUCUUCACUAGUGAAAAACAUGUACACUUUUUUUUGAGAGAUUGACUAAAAUCCCUCUCUUUAUGUGAAAUUCUGCUGGAAAGAAGAUGCUAGUUUUUACUUCAUUUUUUUAACUUAAAUUAGCUACAUUUUAAGUUGAAUCCACCUGUAAUGUCACAGUAAGGUUUUAGACUGUCUAUAAUGUCAUAAAGAUAAUCUUGCCUACUUCAGGCCUUUGUGAUAUGCUCUGCAGCUAAUAAAGUGAUGUUUGAAAUUUCUGAUGAA